rnacentral:rRNA from 1 species
AACGAACGCUGGCGGCAGGCCUAACACAUGCAAGUCGAGCGAAGCCUUCGGGCUUAGCGGCGGACGGGUGAGUAACGCGUGGGAACGUGCCCUUUGGUACGGAAUAGCCCCGGGAAACUGGGAGUAAUACCGUAUGUGGUCGAGAGACGAAAGAUUUAUCGCCAAAGGAUCGGCCCGCGUUGGAUUAGGUAGUUGGUGGGGUAAUGGCCUACCAAGCCGACGAUCCAUAGAGGGGUUGAGAGGAUGAUCCGCCACACUGGGACUGGAGACACGGCCCAGACUCCUACGGGAGGCAGCAGUGGGGAAUCUUACACAAUGGGGGAAACCCUGAACUAGCCAUGCCGCGUGAUCGAUGAAGGCCUUAGGGUUGUAAAGAUCUUUCAGUGGGGAAGAUAAUGACUGUACCCACAGAAGAAGCCCCGGCUAACUCCGUGCCAGCCGCCGCCGUAACAC